UACAGGAGGUCCCGAGCGUUGUUCGGAUUCACUGGGCGUAAAGGGUGCGUAGGUGGUUAGGUAAGUCCGAUGUGAAAUCGUCCAGGCUCAACCUAGAAAUGGCAUUGGAUACUAUUUAGCUUGAGGAGUGGAGGGGGGACUGGAAUUCUUGGUGUAGCAGUGAAAUGCGUAGAUAUCAAGAGGAACACCAGUGGCGAAGGCGAGUCCCUGGACGAUACCUGACACUGAGGCACGAAAGCUAGGGGGAGCAAACAGG
rnacentral:rRNA from 1 species